GGACAAUGGAGGCAACUCUGAUCCAGCCAUGCCGCGUGCAGGAAGACUGCCCUAUGGGUUGUAAACUGCUUUUAUACAGGAAGAAACACCCUCACGUGUGAGGGCUUGACGGUACUGUAAGAAUAAGGAUCGGCUAACUCGUGCCAGCAGCCGCGGUAAUACGGAGGAUCCAAGCGUUAUCCGGAAUCAUUGGGUUUAAAGGGUCCGUAGGUGGAUAAUUAAGUCAGAGGUGAAAUCCUGCAGCUCAACUGUAGAAUUGCCUUUGAUACUGGUUAUCUUGAGUUAUUAUGAAGUAGUUAGAAUAUGUAGUGUAGCGGUGAAAUGCAUAGAUAUUACAUAGAAUACCAAUUGCGAAGGCAGAUUACUAAUAAUAUACUGACACUGAUGGACGAAAGCGUGGGUAGCGAACAGGAUUAGAUACCCUGGUAGUCCACGCCGUAAACGAUGGAUACUAGCUGUUCGGUUUCGGCUGAGUGGCUAAGCGAAAGUGAUAAGUAUCCCACCUGGGGAGUACGUUCGCGCAACCCCUGUUGU
rnacentral:rRNA from 1 species